AGAAUCAACGCUGGCGGCGUGCCUAACACAUGCAAGUCGCACGAGAAAGGGGAGCAAUCCCUGAGUACAGUGGCGCACGGGUGAGUAACACGUGAAUCAUCUACCUCCGAAUGGGGAAUAACUGAGAGAAAUCUUAGCUAAUACCGCAUAAUACCCACGGGUCAAAGCAGCAAUGCGCUUGGAGAGGAGUUCGCGGCAGAUUAGUUAGUUGGCGGGGUAAUGGCCCACCAAGACGAUGAUCUGUAUCCGGCCUGAGAGGGCGCACGGACACACUGGAACUGAAACACGGUCCAGACUCCUACGGGAGGCAGCAGUGGGGAAUUUUGCGCAAUGGGGGAAACCCUGACGCAGCAACGCCGCGUGGAGGAUGAAGCCCCUUGGGUGUAAACUCCUUUCGAUCGGGAAGAUAAUGACGGUACCGAUAUAAGAAGCCCGGCUAACUUCGCGCCAGCAGCCGC
rnacentral:rRNA from 1 species